GAUGAACGCUGGCGGCGUGCCUAAUACAUGCCAGUCGAGCGAACGGACGAGAAGCUUGCUUUUCUGAUGUUAGCGGCGGACGGGUGAGUAACACGUGGAUAACCUACCUAUAAGACUGGGAUAACUUCGGGAAACCGGAGCUAAUACCGGAUAAUAUUUUGAACCGCAUGGUUCAAAAGUGAAAGACGGUCUUGUUGUCACUUAUAGAUGGAUCCGCGCUGCAUUAGCUAGUUGGUAAGGUAACGGCUUACCAAGGCAACGAUGCAUAGCCGACCUGAGAGGGUGAUCGGCCACACUGGAACUGAGACACGGUCCAGACUCCUACGGGAGGCAGCAGUAGGGAAUCUUCCGCAAUGGGCGAAAGCCUGACGGAGCAACGCCGCGUGAGUGAUGAAGGUCUUCGGAUCGUAAAACUCUGUUAUUAGGGAAGAACAUAUGUGUAAGUAACUGUGCACAUCUUGACGGUACCUAAUCAGAAAGCCACGGCUAACUACGUG
rnacentral:rRNA from 1 species